UACGGGGGGGGCAAGCGUUGUUCGGAAUUACUGGGCGUAAAGGGUUCGUAGGUGGCCAACUAAGUCAGACGUGAAAUCCCUCAGCUUAACUGGGGAACUGCGUCUGAUACUGGUUGGCUUGAGUGCAGGAGAGGAACGCGGAAUUCCAGGUGUAGCGGUGAAAUGCGUAGAUAUCGGAAGGAACAUCAGUGGCGAAAGCGGCUUCCUGGUCCAGCACCGACGUUCAGGCACGAAAGCGUGGGGAGCAAACAGG
rnacentral:rRNA from 1 species